rnacentral:rRNA from 1 species
UACGUAGGGCGCAAGCGUUGUCCGGAAUUAUUGGGCGUAAAGAGCUCGUAGGCGGCUUGUCACGUCGGGUGUGAAAGCUCGGGGCUUAACCCCGGGUCUGCAUUCGAUACGGGCUGGCUGGAGUGUGGUAGGGGAGAUCGGAAUUCCUGGUGUAGCGGUGAAAUGCGCAGAUAUCAGGAGGAACACCGGUGGCGAAGGCGGUUCUCUGGGCAUGUCCUGACGCUGAGGAGCGAAAGUGUGGGGAGCGAACAGG